rnacentral:tRNA from 1 species
GCGGCCGUCGUCUAGUCUGGAUUAGGACGCUGGCCUUCCAUGAGCCAGCAAUCCCGGGUUCGAAUCCCGGCGGCC